rnacentral:rRNA from 1 species
GAUCCUGGCUCAGAAUCAACGCUGGCGGCGCGCUUAACACAUGCAAGUCGCACGAGAAAGGGGAGCAAUCCUUGAGUACAGUGGCGCACGGGUGAGUAACACGUGGGUAAUCCACCCUUUAGUGGGGAAUAACCCUGGGAAACCGGGGCUAAUACCGCAUAAGCCUGAGAAGGGAAAGCAGCAAUGCGCUGAAGGAGGAGCUCGCGGCCGAUUAGCUAGUUGGUGGGGUAACGGCUCACCAAGGCGACGAUCGGUAGCCGGCCUGAGAGGGCACACGGCCACACUGGCACUGAAACACGGGCCAGACUCCUACGGGAGGCAGCAGUGGGGAAUCUUGCACAAUGGGGGAAACCCUGAUGCAGCGACGCCGCGUGAGCGAUGAAGCCCUUCGGGGUGUAAAGCUCUUUCGACGGGAACGAUAAUGACGGUACCCGGAGAAGAAGCUGCGGCUAACUACGUGCCAGCAGCCGCGGUAAUACGUAGGCAGCAAGCGUUGUUCGGAAUUACUGGGCGUAAAGAGUGUGUAGGCGGUGCUCUAAGUUCGGUGUGAAAUCUCCCGGCUCAACUGGGAGGGUGCGCCGGAAACUGGAGUGCUGGAGCGCGGGAGAGGAAAGCGGAAUUCCUGGUGUAGCGGUGAAAUGCGUAGAUAUCAGGAGGAACACCGGCGGUGUAGACGGCUUUCUGGACCGU